rnacentral:rRNA from 1 species
UUUGUUACUUCAAACCAAUCGGACUUCGGUCUGACAUCAAGUGAUAUUGAACAAUUUAGCUGAUCGCACGGUCUAAGAACCGGCGACAUAUCCUUCAAAUGUCUGCCUUAUCAACUUUCGAUGGUAGAUUAUGCGCCUACCAUGGUUGUAACGGGUAACGGAGAAUCAGGGUUUGAUUCCGGAGAGGGAGCCUGAGAAACGGCUACCACAUCCAAGGAAGGCAGCAGGCACGCAAAUUACCCACUCCCGGCACGGGGAGGUAGUGACGAAAAAUAACAAGCUGGUCUCAAUGAGUUCCAGCAUUGUAAUGGGAACAAUUUAAAUCUUUUAUCGAGGAUCUAUUGGAGGGCAAGUCUGGUGCCAGCAGCCGCGGUAAUUCCAGCUCCAAUGGCGUAUAUUAAAGUUGUUGCKGUUAAAAARCUCGUAGUUGGAUCUAGKAUUAGGGCUACGGUCGUUCAGYUUGGACGUACUGUAUGCCCSACUCCYCUYCUCUWGKAUUCKARUGKUGCUCUWAAAUGAGUGACUUUAGUKGCUGGAACUUUUACMWURAAAAAAKUGAARUGCWCRAAGYAGGUU